rnacentral:tRNA from 1 species
CGGGAUGUGGCUCAGUGGUAGAGUGCUUGCCUUGCAUGCAUGAGGCCGUGGGUUUGAUUCCUCAGCACCA